GACGAACGCUGGCGGCGUGCCUAAUACAUGCAAGUUGAGCGCUGAAGGUUGGUACUUGUACCAACUGGAUGAGCAGCGAACGGGUGAGUAACGCGUGGGGAAUCUGCCUUUGAGCGGGGGACAACAUUUGGAAACGAAUGCUAAUACCGCAUAAAAACUUUAAACACAAGUUUUAAGUUUGAAAGAUGCAAUUGCAUCACUCAAAGAUGAUCCCGCGUUGUAUUAGCUAGUUGGUGAGGUAAAGGCUCACCAAGGCGAUGAUACAUAGCCGACCUGAGAGGGUGAUCGGCCACAUUGGGACUGAGACACGGCUCAAACUCCUACGGGAGGCAGCAGUAGGGAAUCUUCGGCAAUGGACGAAAGUCUGACCGAGCAACGCCGCGUGAGUGAAGAAGGGUUUCGGAUCGUAAAACUCUGUUGGUAGAGAAGAACGUUGGUGAGAGUGGAAAGCUCAUCAAGUGACGGUAACUACCCAGAAAGGGACGGCUAACUACGUG
rnacentral:rRNA from 1 species